CAAGUGCCCCCCAUUGAUGGAUGGAUCCUGGCACUUUUUAAUGCCAUGUGGAGAAUCCAGCGAGGAUGACAAGUCUGAGCAGCAGUUCUCAUAGAAAGUACAAAUUCAGGUGCAUUGUACUGCAGCCAGUUUGGUGUGGAGGAAGCUGCACUGAAAGCACGAAAACCUUUCCAGAGGAAUUCCAAACCUGCAUGUCCCAGACCAUUAAGCUGUGAGGAAGACAUGCAAGUCAGAAAUGCAGUAAACAAUGAGCCAUCAACAGAGCAUUGGUUCAGGUUUGAAAGAGAACUGCAGAGUUCCAGUCAGAAAUAACAGAAGGAAGGAAAUAGAAGACUGUAGAAAGAGAAAGCAAGAAUAAAUUCAAAUAACAUAAUACUGAAAACA
ensembl:lncRNA